AAGUCCGCGAAUAUUAAACGCAAAAAAGUUCUUUUAACACUUUAUUUACACGAAGGGUUAAAAAAAUACUCUCUCUUCCGGGACUUUAAUACGCGAGAAAAGGGCGUUUCUUCAGCCGUCGUUCCUUUAAAUACCCUUUCGCUGGUUCUCGCUCGGCGCUACGGUCGAUGCCCUUUCCCUUCGGUGUUCUUCGGUUAACCUUCGUUUUAACUGUCGCAAAUAUGGCUGAGGCACGGCGAAAUAUUUCGCCCUACGAUCAUGGCAUCGAUGCCAUCCUCUCUACGAAGACAGCGCCCUCUAUGUUCAUCUGCUCAAACUAGCAUCACGAUGAACGGACCGUUGAUGCUUGUCAACAGUCCCCCCAGUGUUUGUAAUCAACACUUCAUUUGUCCGAUACGUCGAUAACUGCUAUUUUGACAGCUGGGCGCUCUAGCACUUUACCGGAUGCUGUCUGCACGUGCACCCGCCGUACUUGACCGUCGUUUGAUUCGAUCACAUUUACAAUGCGUCCUUUCGGCCAGCAUCCACGGGGAAGAGUCUCGUCGAUUAUUAGUGCGAUGUCACCCUCUGCAAUCGGUUUCACCUGUGCGUGCCACUUUGUGCGCCGUGUUAAAGUUGGCAGGUAGCUGGCCAACCACUUUCGCCAGAAUACGUCAGCGUAAAUUUGCGAUGUUUUCCAAGUGUUCUUUAACAUUUCGGGCGAGGGGUCCACUGUGGUGAUCGGUUUGGCACCGGAUGAUGAGCCCACAAGAAAGUGAUUUGGUGUCAAGGGAGCGUCUUCUUCGCGAUCAACCGGAACAUCAGUCAAUGGGCGUAAAUUUAUGAUAUACUCAACUUCAAUCAACCAACUGUUGAGUACGGCAUCGGUCGGAUACUUAGUGAACUGAAUGUUCGUUAACGUACUUUUUAUCGACCGAACGAGUCGCUCCCAUGCUCCUCCGAAAUGCGGAGCCGCUGGAGGGUUAAACGUCCACUUGGUGCUGGUAAGGCUAAUCCCAUCGAUGAUCUUAUCAACAUCUAUUUCUUUUAGGGCUUCCUGAAGUUCGCGGCUGGCGCCUACAAAAUUGGUUCCUCUAUCGGAUAUGAUUUCAUUGGGUACGCCCCGUCGAGCUAUAAAUUUCGCAGUGCUAAUAUACAAGAGCUUGUUGAUAAUGUAUGGAUAAUGUAUGGGAUAAUGAGUUCCGAGAAAGAGCACUCUCCUCUCAUACCUGGCACAAAGGAAUAAUAUUCAGAGAAUUCAUCGAUCACCGUUCAUCCGCUGCUCAAAAUUUUUGGCGCCCACCCUCACGACAACUGCCACUACCCAACCAGCAAAACCGAAGCUAUUGGAAAACUUUCCUGUGUGCCAAAGCGAGAGAGCAUGUCUUUUUUCUCUAGGUUUUGGACGGCACAACGCCGAUCGUGUGGCCUAUGAACGAAAAACGGGAGAAGGGGAAACCGAUAUCCUUCGAGUGACACACACGCAUGCAUCUGCAUGCGUAUUCCGCUGAACCGAGACUACACAUCUCUCUCGAUCUCCCAUGAUUUUUCUGCUAUCGCGCUCAUCCGGGUGUUAGGCAUCCUCAGUCUGUCCAGAACUUUCACUGUGGAAGGGUGUGUUGGAGUGAUGUGUGAUUUCUUGUGCCCCGUACUUUGCUCGUUUACGUUUUGUGCCGUGUUCCUUCUUCUUCAAUUAUGGAAUGAUUUAUCCUUGUUAAUUUCUAAGUUACAGUGCACGCGCAUGUUAAUCGACGGUUGCCAACAUCCCGCAAAACGAUCGACGGAAGGAAAACGGUGUCCGGGUUUAAAAUAUAAAGAUUUCAUUACAUCUCUUUCGUAGAAGAGCGUACUUCAAGGACGCCUAGGAUACGGCUAAACAUGCGCAGCACCAGUCCGUGACGUCAUUUCCAGACAGGCGCCGGCUGAACACGCGUAGCACCAGUCGAGGAUAUCCUAGCGCAGAGGGUAGAAGGAAGAACGAGAGGAAGGGUAAUAGAAAGCAACCGCAGCAUUUGGAAGGGGUGAAGCAUCCUGCCGUAUACAGAGUGUGAGUGUGCCAAAACGCAUGUGGAAAGAGUAACACCAAUAAACAGCAUGCGAAA